GACGAACGCUGGCGGCGUGCCUAAUACAUGCAAGUUGAGCGAUGAAGAUUGGUGCUUGCACCAAUUUGAAGAGCAGCGAACGGGUGAGUAACGCGUGGGGAAUCUGCCUUUGAGCGGGGGACAACAUUUGGAAACGAAUGCUAAUACCGCAUAACAACUUUAAACAUAAGUUUUAAGUUUGAAAGAUGCAAUUGCAUCACUCAAAGAUGAUCCCGCGUUGUAUUAGCUAGUUGGUGAGGUAAAGGCUCACCAAGGCGAUGAUACAUAGCCGACCUGAGAGGGUGAUCGGCCACAUUGGGACUGAGACACGGCCCAAACUCCUACGGGAGGCAGCAGUAGGGAAUCUUCGGCAAGGGACGAAAGUCUGGACGAGCAACGCCGCGUGAGUGAAGAAGGUUUUCGGAUCGUAAAACUCUGUUGGUAGAGAAGAACGUUGGUGAGAGUGGAAAGCUCAUCAAGUGACGGUAACUACCCAGAAAGGGACGGCUAACUACGUG
rnacentral:rRNA from 1 species